rnacentral:rRNA from 1 species
AGGUCAAGCUAAUAAGAGCGUACGGUGGAUGCCUUGGCGCCAGGAGCCGAUGAAGGACGUAGAAAGCUGCGAAAAGCUACGGUGAGCCGCAAGCAGGCGUCGACCCGUAGAUAUCCGAAUGGGGCAACCCGGCGGGAUUAAUAUCCCGUCACCCUAUGCUGAAUCCAUAGGCAUAGCGGAGGCAACCCGGGGAACUGAAACAUCUAAGUACCCGGAGGAAAAGAAAACAACAGUGAUUCCGUAAGUAGCGGCGAGCGAACGCGGAUUAGCCCAAACCAGUUACUUCGGUAACUGGGGUAGCGGGACUCUCAUCACGUGAAGUUUGUUUUAGUCGAAGCGGUCUGGAAAGGCCCGGCACAGCAGGUAACACCCCUGUAGACGAAAAGACGAAUCAGCAGAGAGUAUCCCAAGUACCACGGGACACGUGAAACCCCGUGGGAAUCUGGGGGGACCACCCCCUAAGGCUAAAUACUCCCUGGCGACCGAUAGUGAACCAGUACCGUGAGGGAAAGGUGAAAAGCACCCCGGGAGGGGAGUGAAAAAGAACCUGAAACCGUAUGCUUACAAGCAGUCGGAGCGCUAUAUAUGCGUGACGGCGUGCCUUUUGUAGAAUGAACCGGCGAGUUACGGUAACGAGCGAGGUUAAGCAUUUAAGAUGCGCAGCCGAAGGGAAACCGAGUCUGAAUAGGGCGUCAAAGUUCGUUGCUGUAGACCCGAAACCAGGUGAUCUACCCAUGUCCAGGGUGAAGCGAAGGUAAGACUUCGUGGAGGCCCGAACCGACCAACGUUGAAAAGUUGGCGGAUGAGGUGUGGGUAGGGGUGAAAUGCCAAUCGAACCUGGAGAUAGCUGGUUCUCCCCGAAAUAGCUUUAGGGCUAGCCUUAAGGUUAAGAUUUACGGAGGUAGAGCACUGAUUAGGCUAGGGGCCCUACCAGGUUACCGAACCUUAUCAAACUCCGAAUGCCGUAAAUUAUUCCUUAGGAGUCAGACUGUGGGGGAUAAGCUUCAUAGUCGAGAGGGAAACAGCCCAGACCGUCAGCUAAGGUCCCAAAGUAUGGACUAAGUGGAAAAGGAUGUGGGAUUGCCCAGACAACCAGGAUGUUGGCUUAGAAGCAGCCACCAUUUAAAGAGUGCGUAAUAGCUCACUGGUCGAGUGGCCCUGCGCCGAAAAUGAACCGGGGCUCAAGUCCAACACCGAAGCUACGGAUUGUACAGAAAUGUAUAGUGGUAGGGGAGCGUUCUGUCAGCAGAGAAGCUGUACCGAAAGGAGCAGUGGAGUGGACAGAAGUGAGAAUGCCGGUAUGAGUAAGCGAAAAGGCAGGUGAGAAUCCUGCCCGCCGAAAACCUAAGGUUUCCUGGGGAAGGCUCGUCCGCCCAGGGUAAGCCGGGGCCUAAGCCGAGGCGUAGAGCGUAGGCGAUGGGAAAUCGGUUGAAAAUCCGAUGCCACCAAUCUCCGUUUGAAGGAUGGGGUGACGCAGGAGGGUAGGUUAAGCCAGCGACUGGAAAAGCUGGUCCAAGCGAGUAGGGUGAGAUGUAGGCAAAACCGCAUCUUAUUAAGCCUGAGACGUGAUGGGGAGGGAAAUUUAAGUACCGAAGUAACUGAUCCCACACUGCCAAGAAAAGCCUCUAACGAGGAGCAUUGGUGCCCGUACCGCAAACCGACACAGGUAGGUAGGGAGAGAAUCCUAAGGCGCGCGAGAGAACCCUUGUUAAGGAACUCGGCAAAAUGACCCCGUAACUUCGGGAGAAGGGGUACCCCAUUAGUGUGAAGGUAUUAACUGCUGGAGCAUGAGGGGGUCGCAGAGAAGAGGCCCAAGCGACUGUUUACCAAAAACACAGGUGCCUGCUAAGUAGAAAUACGACGUAUAGGUGCUGACGCCUGCCCGGUGCUGGAAGGUUAAGAGGAGAGGUUAGCGCAAGCGAAGCUUUGAAUUGAAGCCCCAGUAAACGGCGGCCGUAACUAUAACGGUCCUAAGGUAGCGAAAUUCCUUGUCGGG